rnacentral:rRNA from 1 species
UACGUAGGUGGCAAGCGUUGUCCGGAAUACUGGGCGUAAAGGGAGCGUAGGCGGGAGUUCAAGUUGGAUGUGAAAUACCCGGGCUUAACCCGGGGGCUGCAUCCAAAACUGGACUUCUUGAGUGAUGUAGAGGCAGGCGGAAUUCCUAGUGUAGCGGUGAAAUGCGUAGAUAUUAGGAGGAACACCAGUGGCGAAGGCGGCCUGCUGGGCAUUAACUGACGCUGAAGCUCGGAAAGCGUGGGGAGCAAACAGGG